CGGGGCGGUCUGGCACCUGCUUGUGUGUUGACUGCACAAAAGCUCCUUCAUUGCCCCCAGGGCCUUUGGGGAGAAGCUGGGGGCAGUUGCUGAUGGUUCCAGGCACAGGAGAUGCCAAUGUCAUGGAAACUUUUUAUCCACAGAAUAAUUCAGUAAGUCAUAAUUUCAUUUGUUCAAGGACAAGGAGGAAAUGAUGAAGGAGGUGGAGGGAAGGUUUUAUUGGUAUGUAAUAAUCCCACCCAAAAAUGGCAGCAGGGAAGUGGAGGGGCAGGCACUGAUGUAGGGCUGCAGAGAACUGCUUUUCAGACCUUCCCUAGGAAGAAGCUGCAGGGAGCUUGAUCCUUCUUGCAACAGGUGGAAAACAUUAAGAAGAUGUUAAUAACUCACCUUUUAAUGCAUUCUGAUGUCUUCACAUAGGCUGCAGGUGUAUGCCAGGCAGCUGUGCACCACAACACCCUCCUGGCUACAGAAACUGUCCUUCAUUCAUUCUGCUGGGUCAGGUCACACAUGUGGAGGGAAAAGGAGAAGGCUUGGAAUCAGCACAGGGAGAAGAAUGCUCCUCAGGGUAGAGUGAUGCUCAGAGAGCCACACUGGAGCACCUAGCUCCCAUCUCCAUCUGUUGGAGGACUCUGCCUGUAUCCUGGUGCUGCAGGAGCCCCCAGGCCCACAAGCAGAGCCCAGAGAUGGGAUUCACACCCCACAUUCCCACUUCCCAUCCCUUUGGGGCUCUGCAGCCACCCCAGGCCAAGGGCUGCCAGAUGGGUCCCCUCCUGCAGCAAGGAACAAACUCACCUGCAGGAGGCACUGUGAGGCCACCCUCCCUCCAAGUCCUCCUUCCCUUUGUUCCUCUUCACAGCUGCUUCAUGCCUGCAUCAGCCCAUGUGUGUCAGCUGUGCAGCAGCAGGUGGGCUGAGCUCCCUCUGCUAAAGGGGGGAGAAAAGAGUGAGUGGGAACGGCAGUGCCUGAUCAGGAACCAGGGAGCCCUGCUCUGCCUCCACUUCCCCCUCAGCAGGGAUGUGGCACUGAGCAGAGCCUUCACACAUCCACAGCACCUGCUGCCAUCACUGCCUACCCAAGAAGCACAACAGCAGAAAUCCUUUGUUUAAUACUGUAGAACAUUUAUUUCUCAGAGAGAAAAUAUAGUCUCAGACAGUCAGAUUAUAGUAGGUAAAAUUAGCAUUUUUUUUCUUUACAAGCAUAGAUUUUCUUAUUACCUCUCUUAUACCAUCUGAUAUAAACAAUUCUAGAAAGCAAAUAAACUCACUUUCUACAAUAAA